GAUGAACGCUGGCGGCGUGCCUAACACAUGCAAGUCGAACGAAGCUUGACGGAUGAUUUCUUCGGAAUGAAACCAGAUAUGACUUAGUGGCGGACGGGUGAGUAACACGUGAGCAACCUGCCUUUCAGAGGGGGAUAACGGCUGGAAACGGUCGCUAAUACCGCAUGAUGUGUUCGGAUGGCAUCAUCUGAACAUCAAAGAUUUAUCGCUGAAAGAUGGGCUCGCGUCUGAUUAGAUAGUUGGUGGGGUAACGGCCUACCAAGUCUACGAUCAGUAGCCGGACUGAGAGGUUGAACGGCCACAUUGGGACUGAGAUACGGCCCAGACUCCUACGGGAGGCAGCAGUGGGGAAUAUUGCACAAUGGGGGAAACCCUGAUGCAGCAACGCCGCGUGAAGGAUGACGGUCUUCGGAGUGUAAACUUCUUUUCUUAGUGACGAAGACAGUGACGGUAGCUAAGGAAUAAGCAUCGGCUAACUACGUG
rnacentral:rRNA from 1 species